rnacentral:rRNA from 1 species
UACGAAGGGGGCUAGCGUUGUUCGGAAUUACUGGGCGUAAAGCGCACGUAGGCGGAUACUUAAGUUAGGGGUGAAAUCCCGGGGCUCAACCCCGGAACUGCCUUUGAUACUGGGUAUCUGGAGUCCGAGAGAGGUGAGUGGAAUUCCGAGUGUAGAGGUGAAAUUCGUAGAUAUUCGGAGGAACACCAGUGGCGAAGGCGGCUCACUGGCUCGGUACUGACGCUGAGGUGCGAAAGCGUGGGGAGCAAACAGGG